UGGGGAAUAUUGCACAAUGGGCGCAAGCCUGAUGCAGCCAUUCCGUGUGUGUGAAGAAGGCCUUCGUGUUGUAAAGCACUUUCAGCGGGGAGGAAGGCGGUGAGGUUAAUAACCUCAUCGAUUGACGUUACCCGCAGAAGAAGCACCGGCUAACUCCGUGCCAGCAGCCGCGGUAAUACGGAGGGUGCAAGCGUUAAUCGGAAUUACUGGGCGUAAAGCGCACGCAGGCGGUCUGUCAAGUCGGAUGUGAAAUCCCCGGGCUCAACCUGGGAACUGCAUUCGAAACUGGCAGGUUAGAGUCUUGUAGAGGGGGGUAGAAUUCCAGGUGUAGCGGUGAAAUGCGUAGAGAUCUGGAGGAAUACCGGUGGCGAAGGCGGCCCCCUGGACAAAGACUGACGCUCAGGUGCGAAAGCGUGGGGAGCAAACAGG
rnacentral:rRNA from 1 species